rnacentral:rRNA from 1 species
CAGCCGCCACGGGAAUACGAAGGGGGCUAGCGUUGCUCGGAAUGACUGGGCGUAAAGGGCGCGUAGGCGGCUCAUACAGUCAGGCGUGAAAGUCCUGGGCUCAACCUGGGGUGGUCGCUUGAGACGUGUGGGCUAGAGUGGGGAAGAGGGUCGUGGAAUUCCCAGUGUAGAGGUGAAAUUCGUAGAUAUUGGGAAGAACACCGGUGGCGAAGGCGGCGACCUGGUCCUUUUACUGACGCUGAGGCGCGAAAGCGUGGGGAGCAAACAGGAUUAGAUACCCCUGUAGUCCCUGUCUCUUAUA